rnacentral:rRNA from 1 species
CAAUAGCGUAUAUUAAAGCUGUUGCGGUUAAAAAGCUCGUAGUUGGAUUUCUGUCAAGGACAACUGGUCCGCCCUCCGGGUGAGCACAUAGUUUGGUCUUGGCAUCUUGUUCAAAACUGUUACUGCGCUUGGUUGUGUGGUGCAGUUUUGGGCACUUUCACUUUGAGGAAAUUGGAGUGUUUCAAGCAGGCACAUGCCUUUGGACACAGUAGCAUGGAAUAAUUAGAUUGGGCUUUUGCUCCAACUUGUCGGUUCCUGGAGCUGAGGUGAGAAUCAAUGGGGAUUGUUGGGGGAAUCUGAAUUUAGCCGUCAGAGGUGAAAUUCUUGGAUCUGCUAAAGACGGACAACUGCGAAAGCGUUUGCCCAGGAUGUUUUCAUUGA